rnacentral:rRNA from 1 species
UUUGAUCCUGGCUCAGAUUGAACGCUGGCGGCAGGCCUAACACAUGCAAGUCGAGCGGUAGCACAGAGAGCUUGCUCUCGGGUGACGAGCGGCGGACGGGUGAGUAAUGUCUGGGAAACUGCCUGAUGGAGGGGGAUAACUACUGGAAACGGUAGCUAAUACCGCAUAAUGUCGCAAGACCGAAGUGGGGGACCUUCGGGCCUCAUGCCAUCAGAUGUGCCCAGAUGGGAUUAGCUGGUAGGUGGGGUAACGGCUCACCUAGGCGACGAUCCCUAGCUGGUCUGAGAGGAUGACCAGCCACACUGGAACUGAGACACGGUCCAGACUCCUACGGGAGGCAGCAGUGGGGAAUAUUGCACAAUGGGCGCAGGCCUGAUGCAGCCAUGCCGCGUGUGUGAAGAAGGCCUUCGGGUUGUAAAGCACUUUCAGCGGGGAGGAAGGCGUUAAGGUUAAUAACCUUGGCGAUUGACGUUACCCGCAGAAGAAGCACCGGCUAACUCCGUGCCAGCAGCCGCGGUAAUACGGAGGGUGCAAGCGUUAAUCGGAAUUACUGGGCGUAAAGCGCACGCAGGCGGUCUGCCAAGUCGGAUGUGAAAUCCCCGGGCUCAACCUUGGAACUGCAUUCGAAACUGGCAGGCUAGAGUCUUGUAGAGGGGGGUAGAAUUCCAGGUGUAGCGGUGAAAUGCGUAGAGAUCUGGAGGAAUACCGGUGGCGAAGGCGGCCCCCUGGACAAAGACUGACGCUCA